rnacentral:rRNA from 1 species
UCAAGCGCGAAAAGGGCGUUUGGUGAAUGCCUUGGCAGUAAGAGGCGAUGAAGGACGUGAUACUCUGCGAUAAGUUAUGGGGAGCUGAGAAUAAGCUUUGAUCCAUAAAUUUCCGAAUGGGGCAACCCACCUGAUACUUUGUUAUUAAUACUACUUAUUGUAGUGCCGUUUAAGGGUUCGCCCUUGGGUAGCGUUGCAUGCGGUGGGGCAUAAUAAUAGGGUAAACCAGGUAUUUAUAACUUGAAUACAUAGGGUUAUAAAAGCAAACCCGGGGAACUGAAACAUCUAAGUACCCGGAGGAAAGGACAUCAAUUAGAUACUCCCCUAGUAGCGGCGAGCGAACGGGGACCAGCCGAGCCAUGAGUGUGACUAGAAUGUGUUGGAAAGCACAACCAAAGUGGGUGACAGUCCCGUAUAGGAAGCAUGAUUGGACGUAUUAAGUAGGGCGGGACACGUGAAAUCCUGUUCGAAGAUCGGAGGACCACCUCCGAAGGCUAAGUACUCCUUACUGACCGAUAGUGAACCAGUACCGUGAGGGAAAGGUGAAAAGCACCCCGACGAGGGGAGUGAAACAGUUUCUGAAACCGGACGCCUACAAUCAGUUGGAGGGCCCUUGCGGCCUGACAGCGUACCUUUUGUAUAAUGGGUCAUCGACUUAGUGUAUCUAGCAAGCUUAAGCCGUUAGGUGUAGGCGCAGCGAAAGCGAGUCUUAAUAGGGCGAUUGAGUUAGAUGCAUUAGACCCGAAACCGAGUGAUCUAGGCAUGACCAGGUUGAAGGUUGGGUAACACCAACUGGAGGACCGAACCCACAUCUGUUGAAAAAGAUCGGGAUGAGUUGUGCCUAGGGGUGAAAGGCCAAUCAAACUCGGAGAUAGCUGGUUCUCCGCGAAAUCUAUUUAGGUAGAGCGUCAUCCGAAUACCCCGGGGGGUAGAGCACUGGAUGGGUAAUGGGGCCCCACAGGCUUACUGAUCCUAACCAAACUCCGAAUACCCGGGAGUACUAGAUGGCAGACACACGGCGGAUGCUAACGUCCGUCGUGGAGAGGGAAACAACCCUGACCUCCAGCUAAGGCCCCUAAUUCAUGGCUAAGUGGGAAAGCAGGUGGGACGACCAAAACAACCAGGAAGUUGGCUUAGAAGCAGCCAUCUUUUAAAGAUAGCGUAACAGCUCACUGGUCUAAUUAAGUUGUCCUGCGGCGAAGAUGUAACGGGGCUCAAGCCAUGAGCCGAAACUUCGGAUGCAUUUAAUGCAUGGUAGCGGAGCGUAGUGUGACAUAGUUCCAUGCGUCCUUCGUUUUAUAGCGGACUGCCCAGGCUUUCGAGCCUGUGUGGAGGCGCGUAAAAUACUGGACGCAAGGAGCUUUCUGUGAAGCCGGCCUGUGAGGGAUCCGGUGGAGAGAUCACUAGUGAGAAUGAUGACAUGAGUAACGACAAAGGGGGUGAGAGACCCCCUCGCCGAAAAUCCAAGGGUUCCUGCUUAAAGCUAAUCUGAGCAGGGUAAGCCGGCCCCUAAGCCGAGGGCGAAAGCCGUAGGCGAUGGGAACCAGGUUAAUAUUCCUGGGCCAGGAGGAAGUGACGGAUCACAAAGAUUGUUGGAUCAGGCGUAGUUGCCCCAGCAGUUCAGUGGUUCCUGGAAAUAGCCCUCCAUCAGACCGUACCCUAAACCGACACAGGUGGAUAGGUAGAGUAUACCAAGGCGCUUGAGAGAACUAUGUUGAAGGAACUCGGCAAAAUACCUCCGUAAGUUCGCGAGAAGGAGGCCCGGUUUCUAGGCAACUGGAAGCUGGGGGCACAAACCAGGGGGUGGCGACUGUUUACUAAAAACACAGGGCUCUGCGAAGUCGCAAGACGACGUAUAGGGUCUGACGCCUGCCCGGUGCCUGAAGGUUAAAAGGAGGGGUGAGAGCUCCGAAUUGAAGCCCAGGUAAACGGCGGCCGUAACUAUAACGGUCCUAAGGUAGCGAAAUUCCUUGUCGGGU